rnacentral:lncRNA from 1 species
AUGUCUGUUGUAUGGUUGUCUUUAUGUUUAGUAUGCAUUUGGUUGUUUGUGUACUGUGAAAGUGAUGAGGGUAGAGGGGGUCUAUGUCCCUGUGUAGUAUUGUAUAGUAUUUAUACGUUGUCCAUGUGUUGGGAAUGCAUUUGGUUAUUUGUGUACUGUGAAAGUGGUGAGGGUAGAGGGGGUCUAUGUCCCUGUUUAGUAUUGUAUAGUAUUUAUACGUUGUCCAUGUGUUGUGAAUGCUUGGAUUGUGUCCUGCUGCAUAGUAGAAAGGGUUGGGCUGGAUGGCCCUUAGGGGUCUCUCCAAACUCUUGUGCCUGUCCCCUGGGCUGAGUAGGUUGCUAGGAGACCAAGUGGGCGGAACUUAGCCUUGUAACUGGCAGCAAUUGGAUAAAAAUUAUUCCUCUCCCUCUAAUUAGGACUUUAUUUUUCUUUUCUUUUUGUUAUAUCAACCUAGAGCCAUGGAUGAUGGGUUGUAUUGUCAAAUGUCGAGGUUGGGGGGCCUGUAGUUUUGUUGUUUUGUCCGCUGCCUUGAUGCCAUCACUCUUUUAUAUAUAUAGAUAGUCCAAAAUGCCACAUGGGGUAGCAAAGUAUAAAAUUCUGAUGAGAUAAAACUCCACUCCAUUUCCUCUUCCACUCAUUUGGUUCCUAGUCAACAAUUUCCCAACAUAGCCAUUUAGUGACCCUUUAAUCACCAAUGGAGAGUGUGGUGGUAUCCAGUUACCGUAUAUACUCGAGUAUAAGUCGACCCGAAUAUAAGCCGAGGCACCUAAUUUUAUCACCAAAAAACUGGGGAAACAUUGAAUCCAGUAUAAGCCAAGGGUGGCAAAUUUCAGAAAUAAAAAUAGAUACCAAUAAAAUUACAUUAAUUGAAGCAUCAGUAGGUUAAAUGUUUUUUAGGCUCCAGACUGUGGCGCAGGCUGGAGAGCAAGCCAGCUGCUACCAGCUGCAAUGAAUCACCCUGACCAGGAGGUCAUGAGUUCGAGGCCCGCUCGGAGCCUAUGUGUGUCUUGUCUUUGUUCCAUGUUAAAAGGCAUUGAAUGUUUGCCUAUAUGUGUAAUGUGAUCCGCCCUGAGUCCCCUUUGGGGUGAGAAGGGCGGAAUAUAAAUGCUGUAUAUAUAAAAAUAAAUAAAUAACAUUUACAUAAAGCUCAAAUUUAAAAUAAGAUUGUCCAACUCUGAUCAAAUCAUUAUUCUCAUCUUCUUCAAUGUAAAUGUGCUUAUGUAGCCUUUUAAUAAUAAUAGAGUAAAAUAAUACAUAUAAUAAUAAUAAUAAUAAAUAAUACCAGAAAAUAAUAUAUGUAGUAAUAAAUAGAGUAAAAUCUAUAUAUAUAAAAGAGUGAUGGCAUCACGGCGACCCACAAAACAACAAAACUACAGGUCCCCCAACCUCGAAAUUUGAUGACACAACCCAUCAUCCAUGGCUCUAGGUUGAUACAACAAAAAGAAAAGAAAAAUAAAGUCCAAAUUAGAGAGAGAGAGGAAUAAUUGCUUUUAUCCAAUUGCUGCCAAUUAGAAGGCUAAGCUCCUCCAACUUGGUCUCCUAGCAACCCAAUAAAAAAUAAUUAAAACACUAAAAAAUUAAUACAAUAAAAUACUAUAAU